UACGUAGGGGUCCGAGCGUUUGUCCGGAGUUACUGGGCGUAAAGCGCGCGCAGGCGGCGGUAUAAGCAUGGCGUGAAAGCCCCAGGCUCAACCCUGGGAGGGUCGUCGUGGACUGUACCGCUUGAGGGCGAUAAGGGCUGGUGGAAUGCCUGGUGUAGUGGUGAAAAUGCGUAGAGAUCAGGCGGAACACCCCGUGGCGAAGGCGGCCAGCUGGGUCGUCCCUGACGCUGAGGCGCGAAGGCGUGGGGGAGCGAACGGG
rnacentral:rRNA from 1 species